rnacentral:rRNA from 1 species
GAUGAACGCUGGCGGUGUGCCUAAUACAUGCAAGUCGAGCGAACGGACGAGAAGCUUGCUUCUCUGAUGUUAGCGGCGGACGGGUGAGUAACACGUGGAUAACCUACCUAUAAGACUGGGAUAACUUCGGGAAACCGGAGCUAAUACCGGAUAAUAUUUUGAACCGCAUGGUUCAAAAGUGAAAGACGGUCUUGCUGUCACUUAUAGAUGGAUCCGCGCUGCAUUAGCUAGUUGGUAAGGUAACGGCUUACCAAGGCAACGAUGCAUAGCCGACCUGAGAGGGUGAUCGGCCACACUGGAACUGAGACACGGUCCAGACUCCUACGGGAGGCAGCAGUAGGGAAUCUUCCGCAAUGGGCGAAAGCCUGACGGAGCAACGCCGCGUGAGUGAUGAAGGUCUUCGGAUCGUAAAACUCUGUUAUUAGGGAAGAACAUAUGUGUAAGUAACUGUGCACAUCUUGACGGUACCUAAUCAGAAAGCCACGGCUAACUACGUGCCAGCAGCCGCGGUAAUACGUAGGUGGCAAGCGUUAUCCGGAAUUAUUGGGCGUAAAGCGCGCGUAGGCGGUUUUUUAAGUCUGAUGUGAAAGCCCACGGCUCAACCGUGGAGGGUCAUUGGAAACUGGAAAACUUGAGUGCAGAAGAGGAAAGUGGAAUUCCAUGUGUAGCGGUGAAAUGCGCAGAGAUAUGGAGGAACACCAGUGGCGAAGGCGACUUUCUGGUCUGUAACUGACGCUGAUGUGCGAAAGCGUGGGGAUCAAACAGGAUUAGAUACCCUGGUAGUCCACGCCGUAAACGAUGAGUGCUAAGUGUUAGGGGGUUUCCGCCCCUUAGUGCUGCAGCUAACGCAUUAAGCACUCCGCCUGGGGAGUACGACCGCAAGGUUGAAACUCAAAGGAAUUGACGGGGACCCGCACAAGCGGUGGAGCAUGUGGUUUAAUUCGAAGCAACGCGAAGAACCUUACCAAAUCUUGACAUCCUUUGACAACUCUAGAGAUAGAGCUUUCCCCUUCGGGGGACAAAGUGACAGGUGGUGCAUGGUUGUCGUCAGCUCGUGUCGUGAGAUGUUGGGUUAAGUCCCGCAACGAGCGCAACCCUUAAGCUUAGUUGCCAUCAUUAAGUUGGGCACUCUAAGUUGACUGCCGGUGACAAACCGGAGGAAGGUGGGGAUGACGUCAAAUCAUCAUGCCCCUUAUGAUUUGGGCUACACACGUGCUACAAUGGACAAUACAAAGGGCAGCGAAACCGCGAGGUCAAGCAAAUCCCAUAAAGUUGUUCUCAGUUCGGAUUGUAGUCUGCAACUCGACUACAUGAAGCUGGAAUCGCUAGUAAUCGUAGAUCAGCAUGCUACGGUGAAUACGUUCCCGGGUCU